rnacentral:rRNA from 1 species
GAUCCUGGCUCAGGAUGAACGCUGGCGGCGCGCCUAACACAUGCAAGUCGAACGGCACCCCUCUCCGGAGGGAAGCGAGUGGCGAACGGCUGAGUAACACGUGGAGAACCUGCCCCCUCCCCCGGGAUAGCCGCCCGAAAGGACGGGUAAUACCGGAUACCCCCGGGCGCCGCAUGGCGCCCGGGCUAAAGCCCCGACGGGAGGGGAUGGCUCCGCGGCCCAUCAGGUAGACGGCGGGGUGACGGCCCACCGUGCCGACAACGGGUAGCCGGGUUGAGAGACCGACCGGCCAGAUUGGGACUGAGACACGGCCCAGACUCCUACGGGAGGCAGCAGUGGGGAAUCUUGCGCAAUGGGGGGAACCCUGACGCAGCGACGCCGCGUGCGGGACGGAGGCCUUCGGGUCGUAAACCGCUUUCAGCAGGGAAGAGUCAAGACUGUACCUGCAGAAGAAGCCCCGGCUAACUACGUGCCAGCAGCCGCGGUAAUACGUAGGGGGCGAGCGUUAUCCGGAUUCAUUGGGCGUAAAGCGCGCGUAGGCGGCCCGGCAGGCCGGGGGUCGAAGCGGGGGGCUCAACCCCCCGAAGCCCCCGGAACCUCCGCGGCUUGGGUCCGGUAGGGGAGGGUGGAACACCCGGUGUAGCGGUGGAAUGCGCAGAUAUCGGGUGGAACACCGGUGGCGAAGGCGGCCCUCUGGGCCGAGACCGACGCUGAGGCGCGAAAGCUGGGGGAGCGAACAGGAUUAGAUACCCUGGUAGUCCCAGCCGUAAACGAUGGACGCUAGGUGUGGGGGGACGAUCCCCCCGUGCCGCAGCCAACGCAUUAAGCGUCCCGCCUGGGGAGUACGGCCGCAAGGCUAAAACUCAAAGGAAUUGACGGGGGCCCGCACAAGCGGCGGAGCAUGUGGAUUAAUUCGAUGCAACGCGAAGAACCUUACCUGGGUUUGACAUGCGCCAGACGCGUCUAGAGAUAGGCGUUCCCUUGUGGCUGGUGUGCAGGUGGUGCAUGGCUGUCGUCAGCUCGUGUCGUGAGAUGUUGGGUUAAGUCCCGCAACGAGCGCAACCCCCGCCGCGUGUUGCCAUCGGGUGAUGCCGGGAACCCACGCGGGACCGCCGCCGUCAAGGCGGAGGAGGGCGGGGACGACGUCAAGUCAUCAUGCCCCUUAUGCCCUGGGCUGCACACGUGCUACAAUGGCCGGUACAGAGGGAUGCCACCCCGCGAGGGGGAGCGGAUCCCGGAAAGCCGGCCCCAGUUCGGAUUGGGGGCUGCAACCCGCCCCCAUGAAGUCGGAGUUGCUAGUAAUCGCGGAUCAGCAUGCCGCGGUGAAUGCGUUCCCGGGCCUUGUACACACCGCCCGUCACACCACCCGAGUCGUCUGCACCCGAAGUCGCCGGCCCAACCGAGAGGGGGGAGGCGCCGAAGGUGUGGAGGGUGAGGGGGGUGAAGUCGUAACAAGGUAGCCGUACCGGAAGGUGCG